AUGUCCAUUGCUUCUAUUUUGAUGCUUGUCUCACGGGAAAUCUGGAAGGAGCGGAAUGCAAGAAUUUCUCGCAACACAGCUGCACCGACCACAAUCAUCAUCACAAAAAUCAAAGAGGAAGCCCAUCUUUUGGCGUUCACAGGAGCCAAGCAUUUGAGCAUUAUUAUGUCACGAGAGUAA
rnacentral:rRNA from 1 species